GUCCCCUCAACGCUCGCACAUCCCCUCACCGAUCGUAGACAACUCUCACCGAUCUCACACUCCCCUCACCGAUCUCAGCCCACUCUCACCGAUCUCAAGCCUAUGUGAAUCCCCUCACUUCAACCCUAUGUGAAUCCCCUUCCUCCCUCCGCUCUUCCUCCUCUUCGUUUCCUUCUCACCGAUCGCUGGCACACACCCAUUCUCGCAAGGCCACUAGCAGUGAUGUUGUUCGCAAACAUUUGAAAUUAUAGUCAGAGGCACAAAGUUCACAACAAAUUCCGCUCACUGUGCACGAAAAUCCAGACGCCUCUCAAAAGCCAUUCACCUACAUUUUCUAUCAUUUUAUCUUGGUACCCGCCCAAUUCCCACGCCUUUUCUUCGUUGUGCUUACUAUCUUUCUUAAAUUGAUGCGUCCUUGCAUCUUUGUAACUCUUUUUGUUGUAAUUGUUCUUUUCAUUUAAUUAUAUAGAUUAAGAUUUAUAUCAUAGGGCUGUAUCUGAGACAUAUGUAGCCGUAUGAUACAAAUUUUGAAAAGAUACUUGUAAAACAAACACAGUUGGAACAUACCCAACGUGCAGUAUUGUAUUGGAAAGGACAGUGGUUUUAUAUUUGAAUGGGUGAAUAUCUCACUCUUCAUAUUGCAUGAA